AGUAUUUUAUGCAACAGUUGUAUAAGAAGGGUCAAAAAAUGCGAGUGGCGUGAGUUGCGUUGUGAGCCUUGGCGAACAUCGCAAUAAGAGACGCCACGAGCAUUUUUUGACCUAGUUAUACAACGUUGCAUACAAUACUUUUUCUACGACGACGUAAUUUUAAACGAAACACAAAAAUUUUCCAAUUUAUUUUCCAACGCGCGGGAAAAUGGCGGCAAAUGUAUACUUUUUUUUUAUAGUAUAUCUAUGGCACCAAACAAAGUAAAGGUGCCAGUUUCCAGGUCAAAAAAAAAAAAACAACAACAAUGCUUUUUUGGCGACAUUAUAGUACAGUUACACUUUGUAAACAAUGCUUUUAUAGGCCAUAGAGCGUACACUUUUUCAAAGAGUUUAAUUAUGUAUGUACUUAUAUUAGACUUUUUGGUUAUUUAAAUGCCAGAUUAAAGUAGAGGAGUAGAAAAUAGUAUUUUAUGCAACAGUUGUAUAAGAAGGGUCAAAAAAUGCGAGUGGCGUGAGUUGCGUUGUGAGCCUUGGCGAACAUCGCAAUAAGAGACGCCACGAGCAUUUUUUGACCUAGUUAUACAACGUUGCAUACAAUACUUUUUCUACGACGACGUAAUUUUAAACGAAACACAAAAAUUUUCCAAUUUAUUUUCCAACGCGCGGGAAAAUGGCGGCAAAUGUAUACUUUUUUUUUAUAGUAUAUCUAUGGCACCAAACAAAGUAAAGGUGCCAGUUUCCAGGUCAAAAAAAAAAACAACAACAAUGCUUUUUUGGCGACAUUAUAGUACAGUUACACUUUGUAA